UACGUAGGGGGCAAGCGUUAUCCGGAAUUACUGGGUGUAAAGGGUGAGUAGGCGGCAUGUUAAGCAAGAUGUGAAAGCCCGCGGCUUAACCGCGGGAUUGCAUUUUGAACUAGCAAGCUAGAGUACAGGAGAGGAAAGCGGAAUUCCUAGUGUAGCGGUGAAAUGCGUAGAUAUUAGGAAGAACACCAGUGGCGAAGGCGGCUUUCUGGACUGAAACUGACGCUGAUGCACGAAAGCGUGGGGAGCGAACAGG
rnacentral:rRNA from 1 species